rnacentral:rRNA from 1 species
GGGCGUUAAGUUGCAGGGUAUAGACCCGAAACCCGGUGAUCUAGCCAUGGGCAGGUUGAAGGUUGGGUAACACUAACUGGAGGACCGAACCGACUAAUGUUGAAAAAUUAGCGGAUGACCUGUGGCUGGGGGUGAAAGGCCAAUCAAACCGGGAGAUAGCUGGUUCUCCCCGAAAGCUAUUUAGGUAGCGCCUCGUGAAUUCAUCUCCGGGGGUAGAGCACUGUUUCGGCUAGGGGGCCAUCCCGGCUUACCAACCCGAUGCAAACUGCGAAUACCGGAGAAUGUUAUCACGGGAGACACACGGCGGGUGCUAACGUCCGUCGUGAAGAGGGAAACAACCCAGACCGCCAGCUAAGGUCCCAAAGUCAUGGUUAAGUGGGAAACGAUGUGGGAAGGCCCAGACAGCCAGGAUGUUGGCUUAGAAGCAGCCAUCAUUUAAAGAAAGCGUAAUAGCUCACUGGUCGAGUCGGCCUGCGCGGAAGAUGUAACGGGGCUAAACCAUGCACCGAAGCUGCGGCAGCGACACUCAGGUGUUGUUGGGUAGGGGAGCGUUCUGUAAGCCUGCGAAGGUGGCCUGUGAGGGUUGCUGGAGGUAUCAGAAGUGCGAAUGCUGACAUAAGUAACGAUAAAGCGGGUGAAAAGCCCGCUCGCCGGAAGACCAAGGGUUCCUGUCCAACGUUAAUCGGGGCAGGGUGAGUCGACCCCUAAGGCGAGGCCGAAAGGCGUAGUCGAUGGGAAACGGGUUAAUAUUCCCGUACUUGGUGUUACUGCGAAGGGGGGACGGAGAAGGCUAUGUUGGCCGGGCGACGGUUGUCCCGGUUUAAGCGUGUAGGUGUGUGUUCCAGGUAAAUCCGGUUCACUUUAACACUGAGGCGUGAUGACGAGGCACUACGGUGCUGAAGCAACAAAUGCCCUGCUUCCAGGAAAAGCCUCUAAGCAUCAGGUAACAUCAAAUCGUACCCCAAACCGACACAGGUGGUCAGGUAGAGAAUACCAAGGCGCUUGAGAGAACUCGGGUGAAGGAACUAGGCAAAAUGGUGCCGUAACUUCGGGAGAAGGCACGCUGACACGUAGGUGAAGUGAUUUACUCA